ensembl:lncRNA
GUCAACUCUAUUUUUUUACAAUAUUAUCAAGUCAACAAUCAGUUUUUGUUGCACAGGUAAACUGUAAAUUUCCCCAAUAUCACCGAUUGUGCUGUACUGUGGUAAUUUCUGUUAUUUGUUUCUAAUUUCUCUCAGUAAGGGACCAUGUAAGGACAAUUUUAGCUCAUACUCCUUCACAUUUGAAUGUCACUGCUUCAGCGGAUCAAGGAAGUCCAGUCAGUGCUCCAACAAUUAGCCAGACAAGUGUGAAGGGAAACCUAAAUAUAAAUCAAAAUUUUACAGUUUUCUUGCAGAAUCCCUCUGAUGGUUAUCCUUUGCCUGAGAAUCACUCAGAUGUAAAACCGGGGACAUGUGACAACUAUCAAAUUCUGCCUUCACACAACACUGAACAAGUCCCUCAAAAAUGUGAAAGCUCUCAUCGUCGGAGACACUUGUCCUUCAAAAGUUGUGUGGAGCAACAUACAUUAACUCUUGCAGAGGUGAAAAAGGACACAAAUCACUUAAGAGAGGUUACUGUUACCGGAAAGAUUUUAGACGUUCAGCCUGCAAUCAGCAUUCUGCAGAAUGAAGAAGGGAUACAUUAUUCUCAUUUUAUUCUGUAUGAUACCACUGCAAAAGUUCACUUGAGUUUAGCAGAGAAAUUUAUUGUAACUGUCAAUCAGUGGUAUAUAUUUAAAAGUCUUUCCAUCUGUGACUUUGGCAAGGGAAAUGUGCUUUGUUCAACCGAACUCACAACACUGGAGUCAUUUACUCCUUUAGCAGACAAUCUACAGGAGUCUGAAGAGACCGUCAUCUCAGGGAAGGUCACAGAGGCAUUAUUGACCUUUGAAUAUAUUUGUUCAUGCGGUGCCAUGCUCUCUUUCUCAAAUGCCAAGUUGUUCCGUAUUAAAUGCAACAAGUGCAGAAAAAGCUGCAGGUGUGAAAAUGUUCAAAACAGAGCCAAGGCCAAUGUAACCAUCAAACAGCCCAAUGGAACAGACCAGAGAGUGGUGUUAAAUGAUGCACUGCUGCACUCCAUUUUUAACUUUAAGAGAGAGGGAUACUGUGACAGUCAGCAGCUAGAGGACCAUCUGCUGAGAGCUGAGAGAAUGACUGUUGUCUGUGUGGAUGAUGAGCCUCAGCGUGUGCAAAUAGAAGCAGUGGAAAAAGCUAAGGAUGUGGCAAAAAAAUCAUUUUUUUCUAGAUGCUGUGUCAUUUGAAGCCUUUUUCCUUAAAGGGUUAGUUUGUUCCAAACCCAUUAGAAAUGAGUUUAUCUUUGGAACACAAAUGAAGAUAUUUUAAUGACACCCGAGGGAUUUCUGUCUAUCAAUUUAAAGACUAUUCACCCACAACUCUGAUGCUCUGAAUGUUAAUAAAAAAGAACAACUAAUAAAACCAUAUGAAUUAAGCAGUUUAAUCCAAGUCUUCUGAAGAGACAUGAUCACUUUAUAUGAUGAACAGCUUUAAUUUUGGCUUUUAUUCACAUGAUAAUUGAUCAGCAAUCAAACAGAAGUUCAUGCCUGCUUGUCGUGCCAGAAUUAACCUCAUUGGUUCUUGUUAAAGGGCAAAUUAUUAUUUUUUCCCUUGAUAUUGUAAUAUUGAUCAUUAAUGUAAUUGCAUUCAUUGCAUAAAAGGCCAUUGAAUUCCUACGCUCAACAGAAAUGUGUAACAUGAAAUGUCAUUGUAAAGCUCAAUGCUGCAAAAAAACAAUGUGUAAAAAGAAGUCUUUUGUAAUGCUAAUCAUGUAAUGCUGCAAAUUGACGCUUCAUUUUUCACUUUAAUUGUGAAAGCCAUAAUAGAUUUAGUUUAAUUAUGCGUGGGGGAUUUUACUCCCUUGUGUUGAAUUUGUGGCACAUUUGUGUUCAUUUUGAUGGUAUUUUUGCCCUAAGCCCU